AGAAUCAACGCUGGCGGCGUGCCUAACACAUGCAAGUCGCACGAGAAAGGGACUUCGGUCCUGAGUACAGUGGCGCACGGGUGAGUAACACGUGAAUAAUCUACCUCCGAGUGGGGAAUAACUGAGAGAAAUCUUAGCUAAUACCGCAUAACACUUACGAGUCAAAGCAGCAAUGCGCUUGGAGAGGAGUUCGCGGCAGAUUAGUUAGUUGGCGGGGUAAUGGCCCACCAAGACGAUGAUCUGUAUCCGGCCUGAGAGGGCGCACGGACACACUGGAACUGAAACACGGUCCAGACUCCUACGGGAGGCAGCAGUGGGGAAUUUUGCGCAAUGGGGGAAACCCUGACGCAGCAACGCCGCGUGGAGGAUGAAAUCCGUUGGAUGUAAACUCUUCGAUCGGAAGAUAAUGACGGUACGAGAGAGAAGCCCGGCUAACUUCGUGCCAGCAGCCGC
rnacentral:rRNA from 1 species